GACGUAGGGCGCGAGCGUUGUCCGGAUUUAUUGGGCGUAAAGAGCUCGUAGGCGGUCUGUCGCGUCGGCUGUGAAAACCCGGAGCUCAACUCCGGGCCUGCAGUCGAUACGGGCAGACUGGAGUUCGGCAGGGGAGACUGGAAUUCCUGGUGUAGCGGUGAAAUGCGCAGAUAUCAGGAAGAACACCCGUGGCGAAGGCGGCUCUCUGGGCAGUAACUGACGCUGAGGAGCGAAAGCGUGGGGAGCGAACAG
rnacentral:rRNA from 1 species